GUGCUCACUUUGGCAACACAUAUACUAAAACUGGAACGAUACAGAGAAGAUUAGCAUGGCCCCUGUGCAAGGAUGACAUGCAAAUUCGUCAAGUGUUCCAUAUUUUA
ensembl:snRNA U6 U6 spliceosomal RNA